GAGGGUUCCCUUUUUUGCUCUCUUGCACUCAUUUGUCCGCCUUUUAGCUUUCCUUUUCUGCCCUGACUCUCACAGGGUCGUGCGGAUGUGCGAUGUAGGAGGAGGAGAGAGGUAAAGUGGAGGAAUAGGAGCUGGAGGGGAGGAGGAGAGAAGAAAAGAGGAGAAGGAGGGGGAAGAGAGGGAGCGGGUUCAAGGAGGGAAGGAGGAGGAGAAGGAGAGGAGGAGGAGAUGAGACCAAGGAGAAGAGGUGAAGGAGGAGAGGAGGACACAGAAAAGAGAAGAAAGAGGAGAGGAGACGGAGAAGAGGAGGAGGAGUAACAAAGGAGGAAGAAGAGGAAGAGGACUAGAAGAGCAAGUUCCAGUUCUCGGUGCGCCCCGUUCUGCAAGACACUCUCCUGUGGUCAGCCCUGGUCUGCAGAGGAUUCCCGCGCUGGAUCUCUGAAGGAUGCUGGCGCCCUCUCUGCAGCACAUUCCUGAUGCCCUUGCUGACACGUGUCCUCUGGGCCCUCUCCUGAAACCUGAUUCUCCGGGGUGUCUUCUGGCCUCACCUCUUCUGUCCAGUUCCAGCAAGCUCACUUUGCUUAGCCUUUGAAUCCCUUCCUUCACUGUCUGCCAUGACAGUUCAGGCCUUUCACCGUCACUCAGGCCUGGACCAUCACUGUUGCCCAUCCCAUGCCAUCAACAGGUUUGCCCCAUCCCUUCGGCUCCCUACCAGGGCAUUCAGUUGUGUUGAGCAGCAGAGUGUCUCCAAGUCCCCACUGGUUGAGCUGCAUCCGGGUCCCAUCCCACAGGGACCCCCUGGCCGCUGCAGAUGCAUGCUGAUCCUGCAGCUCCUCGAGGGUGUCAUCGCUUUCCCCCUUCCCAGACCCAGCACACCCUGCCUGCAUGGCGCUGCGCUGCACCUUCACUCUGGUCACGGGUCUGGCAGUCAGCUCACCAAUUCCUCCUGCUUCCCUGGGACUUGCCGGCUUUUAGCACUGCAAUUCACUCAGCAAACUGGGACUGUUGGUCACCCUACCUGGCAGCCAGUGAUAAGGUUUUCCCAACAGGGCUGGUGUCAUUGGCAUGACAGACCUGCCUUGGCUGAGCGUUCACCUGUCUUUGGAGUUCAGCCACCUUAGCAAGUCCUGGGUUUGUUCUUCAGACUUUGCUGCUCGCCCAUUGCCUGGAUCGGGGGCUACUUUGUAAACCACCAGGAAGACUCCAGUGUUUCUGGUUAAUUUUUAGAUGUUUGUUAAUUGCUCUUGGUCUCUCAUUAAUCCCCUGUGGGUCAUCCAGGAAACAUACUCACCACUGUCUGUUCUCUGAGUUUUCAUUUCCAGGCAUCCGCCCUGCCUGGAUCUCCUCACCUGCCAGGAACUUCCUCUCCACAAGCCGGCCAUCCCAGCAAAAGUUCUAACACCAAAGGUCUGGCAACUAGCCUGCCAUCUUGUGCCUGGAGCCGCCUGCGUGCCACCUACUCCCGAAGAUGGGAACCUUGUUGCCAGUUGGGCAGAUGCGGGGCAAUCCUGUACCAAGACCCCAUUUUACCACCUGCUUUCUCAGACCACUCUGGAACCCACUGUCUCAGAUUGUGUCCUCCAGGAAGCAGACCAUGAGAGGGAGUUGGCAGGGCCAAAGAUUUACUGGGGCUAACUAACACUCAGGAAAGGGAUAGGAAGGAAACAGGGCUGGAGAGCAGGUUGAGCCCGACCUGACAGUCUCGAGCAGCCCAACAGGGAGGUGUGGAGCAAGGGUUGCCCACUAGAGGGGCCUGCAUUGGGUACGGGUGAUGGGGUCCACAUGGUACCUGGCAUAUAGCAGGCUGUGCAAUCCAUAUUAACUGACUGGAUAAAUUAAUGCCCAGAAAAGGUGCCCUGGAGAAUGGGUGUGUGCUGAACACAAUAGGGAAGGGCCCAGCAUCUGCCUUGGCAUAGGCAGAACUGUGCUGUGCCCUGCAACAGGCCACCUGAGAGCUGCUUUGAUCUUGUGUGUACAUUAGAUGACUGCCAGGGGCAUGAAGGGGAUGUGCUUCCAGGGCAUUUGCUGGCAGGGCGUCUCGUGAUCUCUUGGUAUUGGUGUGAGCACAGCCUGGCAGGAGAGGGCAGAUCUCCAUGCAAAGUAUGUCAGAAAGCAGAUGGAAGCCAGGCCCCCUCCUGAAAGAGGCUCCUUGAAGGUAGGUGCACACUCA
rnacentral:lncRNA from 1 species